CAACAGCCCAAUCAAGGAACUCCCAAGGAGAGAACAACACCUCCACCAACGCAAGCAGGCCAAGCCACAGUAUAUAAACAGAGAGCAAGUCCCACUCCCUUUUUCGCACUGAAGAUGUUGCCUUGUCUGGCAAUGAAACGUCUGCAAGAAAACAGCAAGGCUCAGAGAGCAUCAGGGACUCCACAGUUCAACCCUGAGCUACAAAUAUUCUCUUUGAUUGUCCCAGCUGGCUAUUUUGGCACCUAGAUUAAAAUGUAAUUAUCAAAGUCAUAGAUUUAUUUCUUGGCUAACUCUAGCACCAAAGAAAACAUUAGUUUUCUUGGGGUUUGGGGUGGGGGAGAAAACUCACAAAUUGUUUGAGACGUCAUGGUACUGCAAACUUUGAGGACUGCUGGCUUAGUGUAAUAUGUGAAUCCAGCCACGGUGAUUUGUAAACCAUGAUUUUGGCUUAGCACUAGGUAUAAACUCAACUGUUAGGACUGAAUCAAUAUUUAAACCAUAUUUGGUUUAAAUAUGGUUUUUUAAUGUGAUGUUAGAACGCAGCCACUGUUUAAUUGUUAUUCACAGAAAAGGGGAAAUUUUCUGCUUUAAGAAAUGUGUGAAUGCUCCAAAGUUUCUUUAUACUAACUCCACAGAGAUGCCCGUGGCUUAAUACCCUUAUUGGGUUGUGCAAUAUAAGGAUGCCCUCGCAAAUACUUCCAUUAAUACCAAAAGGAGAGGGAAGAGAUCUGUAUAUUUAAGUUUUUGUUGGAAAUCACUCCAAUUUAAAGGUGUAAAAUAUAUUGCUGGGUUCAGUUUGGUGUUGGAAGACAUCCUUCAUUUUGUAAACUGUGAGAUAUCACACAGAACUUUAGGAAAUAAUAGCAUUUGCAGUUGCCAUUUAUUUUUUUAUAGUCUUGAGGAUCUACUGUCUCUGUUUUUUGGUUCUUAACGCCAAAAACUUGGCUUUAGGCCUUUUAUUUCUUUCUUUCCUCUUCAGUCUUAAAAAUAGCAAUUUCAGUUUUUAUGUCUAGUGAUACACUGUGGAAUCUGAGUCCCGCAAAGCCACUUACAAGAUCAAUAUGCAGCAUUAACAGACUUUGCACAGCUUUCUAAUAAAAUGUACUGUUUUGAUUGUG